AGCUCGCGGACUUCAACUCCUCAAAGCUCCUCGAGGGGAUUGCGGGGGCGGGUUCGAAUCCGC
rnacentral:tRNA from 11 species